rnacentral:lncRNA from 1 species
AAACAAGUGCUUGAAGGCAGUAUGCUUGGUAAAAGUCAUCGCCAUUCUCUAAUCUUGAGUACCCAGGGACACGAUACACUGCGGAAGGCUGCAGGGACCUCUGCCCAGGAAAGCCAGGGAUCACUCUAAGCUCCAGUGUCAAGGAGUCAAGUCCUUCAGGAAUUCUCUGCCUCCACUCCCUGUGGCAGAGCUAGAGUGGCUGCCAUGCUUCUGAGCUCAGCCAGCAUCCAGAGAGAGAGUGAGAUACAGCCUCCUCUUCUUGAAGCACCCACUUCUAAACUCUGUGACAGUUUUCUUGGAACUCUGUUAUGUGGAUCUGGAGAUGACAAUGUCACAGCACUCCCCUCUAAGCCUAAAUUCCCCCACACCGAUGAACUAUUAGUUUUCUAAGGAUAAUGGUCUCCAGCUUCGUCAAUGUUCCUGCAAAGGACAUGAUGCUGACUUUGAAGAUGCAAGCUUCCACAUCUACAGCCUCAAGGAAACAAAUUCAGCCAACCAACUGAGGGAGCUUUCCUUGUCCUGCCUCAAGAUGAGAUCACAGUCUGCCCAACACCAUGAUUUAGGCCUUGUGACACCUGGUAUGGAAGACCCAGUUAAGUUCUCUCCAAACUCUUGACCCACAGAACCUGUGAGAAAAUAUAUGGAUAUUAUUUUAAACUGCUAAA